GGAAAUUUUUUUGUUACUGCUAAUAACUAUUGUGGACAUGUUGUUUGUUCAAUUUCUU
rnacentral:tRNA from 1 species